rnacentral:sRNA from 1 species
GUGAAGUCUCGCUUUAUCAACGACAUCACGUACAAAGUCAAUUCGUAUUACUUCCUAAAGCAAGGUGAGUCAUAAUACAAAAAAAAUUCUAUAUCCAUGAUAUAUAUUGAUCAGUGUUCCUUUACUCUAAUUUGUAAACAAUUUAACCUAAAUCUGGAAUGAACUUUACUUUCACUUUGAUUUGUAUUCAAUUGUGAAGAUUACAAGUCAACGAUGUGACUAAUUGAAGUACACAAACAAAUUUUAGAUGGCGUUUUCAAAGCCAGUAAGUCCAGAUGUUGUACCGGACGUACCAGUCAUAGCUCAGCAUUAUUUAGUGUGUGACACGGAAGGCUGUGAGAACAACUGCCAGUUUUACUGCAAUCCUUGUCACCUACAGUUGUGUGAACAAUGCAGCAAUAAACAUCAGAAGAGUCCGGCCACUAAAAAUCAUGAAGUAGUCCCUUACCGACAACGUAUACGAAAGCUUCCUGUCGAGAAAUGCAAAGAUCAUCCGUCUAAGGAUAUUGACAUGAUUUGCGAAAACUGUCAGGUUGCAAUGUGUUCCAAAUGUUCGAUAAGAGACCACCGAGGGCACACCUUUGACGACCUAGAGACAAUUUAUUCAGAGAACUUUACUCUCUGCCUUGACGAAAUUUACAACGUAAAUCAAUAUUAUCUCCCAACCUCACAAGAUUUGAAAAGAGAUAUUAAAGAAGAUAUUUUGAAAUUGAGAGCGUGUAUGGAGAAAAUAAGAGCAUCCAUAAUAGCUGAAGCAGAAUCGCUUAAACGUCUAGUUGAAAAAGUGAUGACAGACACUUUAGACCAAGCCAACAAAUUGGAGGAAACCCUAUUGGAAAAGCUUCAGAGUCAAGGCAAAACCUAUGAUGACUACAAGUGUUACCUUGACAACCUUGUCAAAGAGUUCCAGCGCUAUCUGUCCUUUGAUAGAGUCCAAAACAACCCAAUCAUUUUUUCACUUUCAGAACUAUUAAAUAUCAAAGCCAUACCUGAGAACACAGAAUCAGUGUAUCCAGUAUUUACUGCUGGUCGAUACAGCAAGGAUGAUGUCGCUGAACUAUUUGGUACAGUAACUGUUCUCACCACUAAACCAGUAUCUAGAUAAGUAAAACCACUGGAACUUACUUCUACACAGUUAAAACCUACUAGAAAAGAACAAAACAGAGAAAAACAAAAUCUUUCUCUGUCUUCCUCUGUCACUAAUGUCACAGAGUACAUAGUACCAGGUGUUAAUGGUGUAUAUCAUAUAUCAAGAGGUAAAUCAGGCAUACUUUGGGCAAGUGAUGCAAGUGGCAACAUUGUUCAAACUGAUCAACAGGGGAAACAGCUUCAGAUGAUAAAAACCAGUUGUGAAAAUGAUGGUUACCAUGCUGUCACAAUGGAGGGAGAUCUGAUUUAUACGGACAAAAAUAAAAAUGUUAAUGUUAUUAACAGAAUAACGCUUGGCCAUACAACCACUGAAUUCAUCAAAACAGGAGACUGGAAACCACUCAGCAUACACUUCUCUCACAUCAAUGGAGAUAUACUGGUGGGGACAAGUAAGGAUGAAAAGGAUAAAAUCACCAUAUACAACAAGGCAGGAAAAGAAAAAAGGAACAUACAGAGGGACUGCAAAGGACAAGAACUGUAUAGUAGAAUUCCGCACUACAUCACAGAAAACAUCAAUGGCGAUAUAUGUGUAUCAGACUUUAGCAAACAAGCUGUAGUGGUGGUUAAUAAAUCAGGACAACACAGAUUCUCCUACACAGGCCAGGAGUUUGUGUUUAUCCCUUCGGUAUCUGUACUGAUAUCCUUGGUCACAUUCUGGUCUGUGAUACUGAAAGUAACACGGUUCAUCUUUUGGAUCAGGAUGGUCAUUUCUUGUCUAUGAUAAUUUCAAUACAACAAGGGAUGCAGCGUCCCCGUAGUGUAUGUGUGGACAAUGAAAACAAUCUUUACGUAGGACAAAGUAACACCAACACAGUUAGAGUAUUCAAGUAUCUUCAAUAAGCAUUUAUUGAAAGAGAAAAUUUUGAUCUGUAUUGGUACAUUCGUAUGUUCUACAUUAUGGCAUUGAAAAACAAUUCUAAGAUAUCUUUAUCAAUGUAUUGGCCUUUUAUAUAUUAACUGAUUUAUGUAUAAAAUGAAAAACACAUGUCUGACAUUAUAUAAAUGAACUGUUGCAUAUAC